UGAGGAAUAUUGCGCAAUGGGCGAAAGCCUGACGCAGCAACGCCGCGUGGGCGAUGAAGGCCUUCGGGUUGUAAAGCCCUUUUCUGGGGGAAGAGGCAGGACGGUACCUCAGGAAUAAGUCUUGGCUAACUACGUGCCAGCAGCCGCGGUAAAACGUAGGAGGCGAGCGUUAUCCGGAUUUACUGGGCGUAAAGCGCGCGCAGGUGGUUUCGUAAGUUGGACGUGAAAUCUCUUGGCUCAACCGGGAGGGGUCGUCCAAUACUGCGGGACUUGAGGUCGGGAGAGGGAAGUGGAAUUCCCGGUGUAGUGGUGGAAUGCGUAGAUAUCGGGAGGAACACCAGUGGCGAAGGCGGCUUCCUGGCCCGCACCUGACGCUCAGGCGCGAAAGCGUGGGGAGCGAACGGGAUUAGAUACCCCGGUAGUCCACGCUGUAAACGAUGGGUACUAGGUGUUGGUGGUAUUGACCCCAUCAGUGCCGAAGCUAACGCGAUAAGUACCCCGCCUGGGGACUACGAGCGCAAGCUUA
rnacentral:rRNA from 1 species